AGCCCGCGGUUUAAGUUUCGUUUCUUUUUCGCACCAGUUGAUCACGGGUGCGCGCGAUUUGACGUCCGAGGCUGCGCCGCUAAGCCCCGCGACUCGUUGUCACAGUGUUACAGUGUAAGCACCGCUCUCGCGGGAUGCGCAUAAACUGUACCUGCGUGACUAACUUUGCGAGUUGCGAGGAAGGAACGCUUUUCAUCAGUACUUCCGCAUUUGCACGAGCGAGAAGAGGAGAGGAGAAGAGAAGAGAGGAGAGGACCGGACCGGACCUGACCGGACCGCAGAACACCGCAGAGGAGCCUUCUUGGUGGCGCCGGAAAAGACGCUCGGCAGACAGCAUGAAAAAUACCAGGAAGUCGGCGCUCAAAGUUGGGCUCCAAUUCUUCGUGUUCCUCCGGGAGACCGACCGUGCAAGCGUUGUGGCCAGAGCCGAACUCAAAGAAAUCUACAACAGCGAGUUCAAAGCAAGGAAUGGAGACAAAAAAGUGCCGGGCUUUAGCACCGUCCUCUACGUCCUGAAACAGUCGGGGCAAAUACACGUGGCCGGACAAGAAAUUCGCGUCCUGGCCAGAAUGACUUUAGUGGACCAGUGGCAAAGGCCCAGGAGGUCCCAGCCGCAGACCGUCUCGAACGUUGAGGAAGAUCCAGCUCCCGAUCGGCCGCCGCGAUCUGCCGUGGAAGAAAAUAAGAAAGCGGCCAGAGACCUUACAGAAUUGCUGAAGAACAACAGGUCUCUCUUAAUUUCCAAUAAAUUUAAUAUUGUCAUCAGCUCCGACUGCGAUUUCCACGAUGGAAAACUUCUCUUGGAUGUGGAAACCGAGCAGCACGUUGUUCAUCUAAAUAUUGAAAACACCGGAAGCGAAAGUGUGCUUUUCACCUACUACACGGCACUGCACAAGCUCAGCUGCUUCACCCUAAAGGACGAGCGCAAGGUGACCCGAAAACUGCCGCUUUCACUCAACGCAGGCGAUCGCUACGCCAUCCACGUUGAGUACCGGCUGGAGAGCCCCGGCUACUAUCCAGUGACGUUGGCCUUUGAGUUUGAGCGGAGUUCCUCCCCUUCUCCCUUCGUUAUCGUGCGGGACGUUUGCGUUCAUUAUUUAAAGGAGCUGGGAGUGCAGCUGAAAGCGACCGCUCCCUUCAAGCGUCCCCGUCUCGCUCCUCAGCCUCACGAUGAGUCCCGCUUCAAGGUCGUGGAGGGAGUCCCGCCCGACGCGCUGUCGAGGACGGGGCUAAGAAGCGAAACCCCGCUUUAUUCGUAUAUGCCGCCGCCUGAUUUAGUUCAGCGCAUCCGGUUCCUCAACAAGGACCCUCCCGCAGAUAAAAGUCGGGCGCUGGCCUGCUCUUUAACUUCCAAGAACUACUCUCAGAAGUUCCGCGAGUUGUUGUACUUGGAGGAGCAUCAGAUGCAAGUGGACAUCAGGCAAUACUUCAUUAGCAACGACGACUACGCUUGCAUGCGACAAGAUCCAAGCAACAAGAAACUUCUCAUUCUCAAGGUACCGGGCCUGUCUGAGAACCGCCCGUCGGUGCUUCGUGGAGAUCGGCUGCUGAUUUACCCCAAAGGAGAAACGCGACACAAGUACGCCGGUUAUGUCCACUCGGUGCAGCAGGACUCUGUCAAACUGGGCUUUGACUCCAAGUUCUUGGAGAAUUUUGCGGAGGGCUUGAAGUUCAACGUGGAGUUCACCUGCAAUCGUCUGCCUUUACGUCUGCAGCACCGAGCGGUCCAAAAUGCAACCGAGUUUAAACUGGAAAAGGUUUUGUUCCCGCCAGACAGCCUCCGCUCAAAGCAAAUAGCGAACAUGCCCGACCUCAGUUUCUACGACAGACAGCUGGAGAAAAACCCCGAGCAGAGCAAAGCCGUGCGUCACAUUGUGUACGGCACCUCCAAGCCGGCGCCGUACGUGGUUUUCGGUCCACCCGGCACAGGCAAAACGGUCACCUUGGUGGAGGCCGUCAAGCAGGUGGACAAGAUCCGGAAAGACUGCCACAUUCUGGUGUGCGCUCCCUCCAACAGUGCGACGGAUCUCCUGUGCGCCAGGAUUCUGAAGGGGGGCCACGGGAACAAGGGCAAGGUCUACCGCAUGUAUGCCAGCAGCCGCGAUCCGAAAAGCGUCCCUCCGGAGCUGAAGGCGCACUCGAACCUCGAUAAGUACGGUUAUUGUUUCCCUUCCAAAGAGGAACUGAUGGAGUAUCGAAUCCUGGUCACCACUCUGCUUACUGCUGGAAGGCUGGUGACAGGAAAUCUCCCCGUCGGCCAUUUCACUCACAUUUUUGUGGACGAGGCCGGACAAGCCAAGGAGACGGAAUGUUUGAUCCCGCUGGCCGGGCUGCUGGACCCCGAGGCCGGCCAGGUGGUUCUGGCUGGAGACCACAAGCAGCUGGGACCCAUUGUGGCAUCACCUCUUGCUCUUAAAUAUGGAUUAGGCGUUUCCCUCUUGGAGCGACUGAUGAGCAAUUCGUCGUCGUCGGUGUACUGCAAGGACGGCGCCUUCAACGACCUGUUUGUCACCAAACUGCUGCGCAAUUUCAGGUCCCAUCCUGCCAUUCUGAAAGUCCCCAACGAGCUGUUCUACGACGGAGAGCUGCAAGCGUGCGCUGACGAAAAGAAACGCAACCGCUUCUGCGAGUGGGAGCACCUUGAACGAGCGGACUUCCCGGUGAUUUUCCACGGGGUGACGGGUGUGGACGAGCGCGAGGCCAACAGCCCUUCCAGCUUCAACAGAGCAGAAGUGGAGGUUGUGAUCGACAUCAUCAAGAAACUGCUGCAGAUGAGCGACGUCGUUCCCAAAGACAUAGGCAUCAUCACACCCUACAGGAAACAAAAAGAGAAAUUCCUUCAGGCGCUUCGUUACCUCAGUAGGAAUGACAGACGGUUCCAAUUUAUGGACAUGGCCGCCUUGAAGGUCGGUACGGUGGAGGAGUUCCAAGGUCAGGAGCGGGAGGUCAUCUUGGUGUCGACGGUCCGCAGCGACCCCAAGUACACGGACUUCGACAAACACUUCGACCUGGGCUUCGUUGCCAACGAGAAGGGUGUCCGGGCUCUCUCUCUUAGAAGAACGGGUGAGAAGCUCGGUCAUCAGGGAGGGGCUCAGUGUCGAGCCAGAUGAGGUGGCUGCUGGGGCAUCUGAUUCGGAAGCCUCCCGAAAUCCUCCGACCCCGAGGACGACCCGGGACACGCCGGAGAGACUGUGUCUCUUGGCGGGCUUGGGAACGCCUCGGGAUCCCUCCGGAAGAGCUGGAAGAAGCGGCCGGGGAAAGGGAAAGUCUGGGCAUCCCUGCUGAAGCUACUUCCCCCGCGACGCGACCCGACCCGCAGAAGCCGUACAGAAUGGACGGAAAGACGAUUUCCUAGGCACUCGUCUUUUACGUUCCCAAGAUGCUUUUGUGCACAAAAAUGUCAACUAACGCAAAUUGUCUCGAUCAGCGCUUCAACGUGGCGAUGACCCGAAGUCAAGCCUUGUUGAUCGUGGUGGGUAACCCGGUGGUGCUGGCCACCGACAAAGUCUGGAACCACUUCAUCAAGCACUGUCAAGAUUCCAAGGUGGACCGCGGGUACAAUCGGGCGGAGGACGU